ACAGUCUUCGCCGAGGAUGACCCUUUUGCCUCCCCCUCCCAAGUUUCGGAAUGUUAAGCUUGCUUCACAUGCUGCUAAGGACCGAACCCAAGAUAGUUCACAUUUUCAGCAAGUAUUUGUUGAGUGGGUUUUCAAGGACCUCUCGGUCCAUGGGAAAGAAAGGCAUAAUCGAGCCAGCACAACAGGGUGCCCAUGGGAGAGACAAUUUGGGUGAAAUGUAGAAGAUGGGGAAUUUUGGCUGAGAAGCACACACCUGAGAGGAGUGGUGUCUUGGAAGAUUCAGAAGUGGGAAGGGUGUAGUGUGGUAUGGGACUCGGAGGGCUGGCUGGACUCUAGGGUGUGUCACUGUAUGUAUGAGUUUGUGGGGUGGGGUCAGCAGGCCAAACCAGCAGGCAGGGAGGUGCUGGAUUAUGUAAAGCCUGAAUCUGGACCAUCCUGUGAGAACUGGAGGAGGCCAACUGAAGCAUGGCAAGAUUAUAAAUGAAAUUUGAAUGUAUUGUUUCAUGUGUGAUCUGAAAAACAGUCAGAGGGGAGACCAGGAGGCAGGGAGAUAAGUGAGAAGAGGGGAGAAACAGCCAUAAGGGACGAUGAUGGCAACGUGUCUAUAUUAGCUGCAGAGGGGGAGGACAAGAGAAAAGAUAUGAGAAAUCCUGGCACUAGUGUUCGUCUGGACAUCAGAGUGACCUAGAACACAGGAAGAUGAUGGCUUCAUCACAUGGUUUCUAGCUUGGGUGACUAGUUAGGUGACUAGGUGGCACAGUUAACCAGCAGAGGAGCUGAAUGUGGAUAGUUGACCAGAAGUUGGUGUCCAUGAUUCUUGGACAAUAAGAGAGGAAAAAUGUGAUGGAGAUCGAAUCUGUUUUGUGGGCUCAGCAAAUGCAGAACUUGUCGACAUCGGCUCCCAUUCAUACUGGCCAUAUAGGCAGUGGUAUUAUCCUCAGUGGGGUUAAUUAAGCCUUUCCUCAAGACUACACGUAUGUAUAGCUGUUAUCGUUCAAAGACCAAAGUGGUGUAUAAUAUUUCUUUGCCUCCUUAUAUCCCAACCAGGGGAGAAUGGUUUUCAAGCUAAAUCAUGAUGAGUACCUACUAAGUGCAGCACCAACUACUGGGUUAGAGGGGUUUCUGUAGGACUUGCGUCUUCUCCUGGAGUAAAAUAGAACACAUGCCCCGGCACUGCCUUCCAAGGGGUUCAAACAGUCUUCAGCAUGGAGCCAAAGUACAUCAUAUACAAGGAUCAGUGUUCAAGAUGGGAACUUGGCCCAGAAAGCAAAAAGGAAGAGAAGAGAUUACAGGAUCACAGGCUGGUACAGGAGUAGGAAGACAUGGAGCUGGUGAAGAUUACUUUCAGGGGGCUGUAACAAAAGCAGGAAAAGUCAGACAGCUUGACGCAUUGACUUGAACUCCAUGUUUGAAGAAGGGGUAGUCACAGCCUCCAUGUGGUGUGGCAUUCAUGAUGCAGUGCCCAGAACAGGCUGUCAGCUGGCCACUGCACCCAUUUGACUCUCUGGAUCAUAGCAACUCCGGGGUGAAAGUUGCUUGGAGCUGUGCUUUGGAAAGCCUAUGUGAAUAAAUGUUUCCUGAUUCUAAAGCUCCGCAGUGAACGGAGGACCGUGUCCUUGCAGGGGAACCAGAGAAGGAGCUGCUUUCCCUGCUCAGGACUCUUGUUUGCUAAUACAAGUGUGUAGUGAAAGCAAACAAACCAAGGGCCUGCCAUAUUCGUGAGAAUACCUAAAAGAGUUGUCAGGCUCAGUGGUCACAUCCUGAAGCAUCUUCAACAGGGGUCCUGAUGCCUGGGACUCGCCACCAGAAGGAAAUACAACAGAGGGACUAAUUGAUUCAUUGGAAGGUGUUUCUAACUGUAUUUUCUGAUGAAUUUGUCACCUGGAUGUUUGUGGGAAGGAACCAUUGGAUAGUUGUGGCUGUCACACUGCCGACUGUCUCUCAUUUUGUCACUGUACAGGACAUGAGGUACGUAUAAGACAGCUCAGAGUUCCUGUCCCAUGAGGCUAGUGUGUCUCCUCUGUUACACCUCAGAGUUUCUGCCCCUUGAGUGACAGGUAUGGACAGAAGAUCAAGACCUGCACACACUCCAAAAGUGCUAAUGACACCCGACUCUGGUCUUCGACCUUCAUGUCUGUCUGUAAAGUGAAGCUUGGUGGGACCGUUACUGACCCAUUUUUGCAGAUGAAACUGUGUCUCAGGAAGCUUCAGUGAGUUCACAUCUGGUCACAUGACUUAAAAGAGUGUGACUUUGGGGACCUUCAUUGACUGAUUCUUGACAAACUCAUAGAUGACUCUUAUUGGCUGCCUGCUUUCAGGCUACUUGUCUUUUCUAGCCCAAAGCAGAUGAAUUCUAUCAGAAGGGAAAGGAAAAGGGACUCCCAACCCAGGGCUGACUUGGUGGAGCCAAGUGGCCGCAUACAUUAGCAAGAGAGGAAGUCAUCUUAGCUAAGCCUGCCAUUUGAUGGCUUAUGUCAUUAGCAUCUCACCAUGCCAGUAAGUGAAUUGUUGGAGCCUGAAGUGGGGCCUCCUUCUGAGAGUCUGAGAGCAUUCUGAAUGCUGGCACUCUUGGGGUCUGCUGUCGGCAGCAUGGAAGCGUCUAGCAGCCAUUUGGGGUUAACACCAGUCUUGGACUUUGACAGGAAGGAAUAGACUCUCUAGCUUGGGGGUGUAAAUAUAAGCCACCCAUUUCGCUAUUCUGCCGAGAAGAAAGGUGUCCACUUUUGUUCCCUGUUGGUGCUUGGUUUUCUGUGAUUCCGUUUAAACGCUGUUAUGGGGACCUUGUGUUUUUAGGUCCUUCUCUCAGUAAGAACUUGGAGCCUCUCAAAUGACCCAGCAUAAAUGGUCCGCUUCCCUUCUUGCACAACCCCCACCCAGCCUUGUUACUGCCCAGCGCUGUAUUGAUUGGAAAGCAUUUCACAAUGCGUUUUCAAAACAUGCUGAAGGUCGAGACUGAGUGACUCAUAGGCCGUCACAUUUCUUUCUGCUUUAGUCCCUCUGGACUUUAUCGGUUAGGUUGGCUAAUGGAAGUCCCUAAAGAAACUGUUAACUGCCCAACCUUGGCCAGUAGGAUGCAGGAUUAGUAGGUGGCUUCACAAAAUAAUUCCUAAUCACGUCUGUGGCGAUGGACCUGUGGAAAUCUCUUUGGUUUUUGAAUGCCAAGUCUCUAGAAGAAUAAGAAGUCAGGAGAGGGUUCCCGAGCUCAUUUUGCCAGCUCUGGCUCCCAGAGCAUCAGAGAGCCGACAACGUCAGCUUUGGAAUUCUUUACAUGCAAGCUUUUUGAACCCCUAAAAAAUACUGUUCUAAAAAAAUAAUCUGUCAUAAAAAUUAAAGCUUCCAAGUGAGUCAUCUAGAAUAGCCUUGAGGUUGAAAAUGUGCUUAGUGACCCUCCCCCACACUCCAGGAUUUUACUCUUUCAGUAUUGUGAAGGCCCUUUCCCUUUAGCAGUCACAGAAAUAGUAUCCCAAAGCUAGGGCAGUAAUAAUGCUGUCUGCAGGUCUAUCUCACCAGCCUAGCUCUCCUCAGUCACUCCUCUCUGCAUCCCUUCCAGCCCCAAGCUGCUAACCCCCUCCUUCUGGACUGGAGAACAACCAAUAUAAAAACAGUGAAUGCCAUCAUGUUCAAGUACAUCCCCAGUGAGGAAUGGCCAUAAAGUCUUCCUGCCUCACUGUGACUGUUCCCCAUGCCACCCCCAGUCUGUCUCUUCAUCUGAGACCUUGUCAAUUACAGCUCCCACCCCUUGAUUUUAGAAAUGAACAACCUAAAGUUCUGAGUAAUAAAGUGGCCUUCCCAGGUCCACGCAGCUCACUUAUGGCAGAAUCAGGAUCUGGGUACCAGGAUCUUUUCCUGCUUCAAUGAACCAGACACCCAGAGGACCCAGAGAACCCAGAGAACCCAGGGGACCCAGAGGACUCAGAGGACUCAGAGGAAUGAUGAAUAAAAUAGAUUGUUGUGGCGUGUGUCGGACAUCUGGUUUCCAAGGAGAGUUUAUAUUAAGUAGCAGCGAGGCCUCAAAAGCUAUGGUAGCUAGCGUGAAUGAACUUAUGUAAUCAACAUUUAUCAGGAACAUGUGUCAUCAAACAUCUGCCAGAUCUGAGUGUUGGCACCAAACCUGCUUUCAUUGUCAAAGAAAAGAAGGGAGAAAGAAACUUGACUAAAUAAAGCCGGCAGACAUUUUUACUAGAAAAUCCAGAGGUAUUUUCUUAAGGAAUAGAAGCACACCUGCAACAUCUUAAAAAUCAAUUUCAAUGUGAUUGGGUGACUCUAGCAGUCAUAGAUUUAAAACACACACACACACACACACACACACACACACACACACACACACACACACACAUGAAUUGAUGUCUAAAGUCAGCAUCACCAGGUUCCUGUCCUUUUGGUCCGUUUGGUAACAGAAGCCUGGAAAUGACAUGUGUAAAAGUUGCCCAGAGCAACAUCCUAGGUUGCUGAUCUCCUAAACAAAAACACCCCAAAGUGCUUUUGGUUUUCAUUGGUACAACACAAGCAGGUCAGAAAGACAUGGAACAUUCUCCUGCCAAACUUCCAUGAAGAAUCUGGCUUGCAUGAAGACUUGAAUGUGGAGGUCCCCCCCUCCCAUAGGCUUACAGUUUGAAUACUUGGUUCCAGCUUGUGCUACUAUUUUAAAGUUUGUGGAGUCAUGGAAGGUGAGGCCGGACUAUUGGAAGUGGGUCGCUAGGGGUUGGCCUUUACAAGUUAUAACUGACUUUGGUUCAGGCUUCUUGUAGGAUGGCAUACAGCAAAGUUCCCUGCUACAAUAUUCCCACCACUGUGAGUUCUGCUGUCACUUCUCCUAGAGCCCCCUGAAACUGUGAACCCAAAAUUUCUUCCUACCUUAACUUGUUUCUGUUGGCAUUUCGAUCUUGAUGAGAAAAGCAGGAAGUUGAUACCAAGGAGGAAGGUGGUAAUGGUAGCUAAGCCUAACUCUGUGGUUGUGGGCUCAUAGUGACUUGCAUAAAGAGUCCAGGGAAAAAGACUAUACAGCCAGGUAAUGUGGAGCAUGGAUCGAUGUCUUGGAAAGAGCCCCUGAAAGGACAAUUUAGAAAUCAGUUAAGUCAAAGUUCAAGUUGCACCAGAGACCUCAAGAUGUUGGAGAUGCCAGCACUGUGGAGUGUCUGCCAAGGAGAUCUGCAUCCCUAAGAGAGAGUCUAUGUGUACUGCAGCUAGAACUUGAACAUGUUGGAGUUCGUAUGAUGCUGCCAUAUGUCCUAGAUAUCAUCCAUGGAGCCAUCAGGUUUAAUGUGUGUCCUGCUAAGUUUCAGUCUUGCUUUGGUCUGGUCUUUCCUGGCAUGGUUCCUCCUGUUUGGAAUAGGAAUGCUUGUGCCGCUGUAUCUUGGAGGUGUGUAACUUGAAAAAAAACAAAACAAAACAAAACAUUUACCGAGACUCACAGUUAGGAGUUUAUGAUAAGUCUGCGAAAAUAUGUUGGACUUUUGAACAAUCUUGAGACCAGUAAGAUGUUGGGAACUCUUAAAGUUACUUUGAAUGCAGUUUUCAUUACGAGAUGGCGAUGACCCUUUAGGAACCCAGGGAAGCACAUUAUGGUUUGAAUCUGAAAUUUCCUCCUUCCCCAGGCUUAUGUCUUGAAUGCUCAGUUCCCAGCUUCUGAGGUGGAGCCUACUGGUCAGAAGUUGGUGAGUAGGGUCUUGCUUCUGAAGGUUAUACCUGGCCCUGGUUCUGCCUGGAUUCUUUGCUUCCUAUAUGUUGCCAACUGAAUAACACCUUGCCACAUACUCCCACUACCAUGAACUCUCCUAGGCUUUUCCCAGUCAUGGGCAGCAGCUGUUUGAAAGUGGGAGUCCAGACAAACCCCUCUUCCUCUGUUUCUGGGAGCAUGAAUACAUAUUGCAUGAGAGGUUGUGUUUAUGAUCCUCCUGCAUUGGCUUCUUGAGAACUGGGAUCCUGGGGGAUACCACUCUCCGCUAGGAUGACUCUUGUUGGUCCUCACGGUUGUAUAAAACCCUCCAAACUACUUUUUAAAAACAAAUUCUUGAUUAUGUCUUUUCCUGGAAGCUGCUCCCCUGCCUUUCUCGCCAUCUCAUUGAUAAAUGCCCUUUUGUCGAAUAAAGUGUGUUGAAUCAUCCGCAAUUCUGCCUUCAUUCAUCAUUUGACCGAAAGGCUUGGAUCCUGAAUCUUUCAGGGGAAAAGGGAAGGAGGUAGGAGGGGAAAAAAAGCAAAGGAUAGAAGGAGGGGACGGAAAGGAACAGGAUUGUGAGAUCCGUAUUUACUUUCACAGGGGAUUUUUCCCCCCUCCUUUUUCUAAGAAUCCAGGUCCUAUGUAAUCUGGGAAACAAGUGCUUUUAGCCUUUUCUUCUCCAACCGGACAGCUCGAUAUCUUUCCAGGGAUUUGGUAAAGAAAUCAAAUCCAGUGAGUGGGAGCUUGAUAAGACUGAGGACUGUGUCACACAAUGGAACAGAAAGAACCUAGAUGUUUAAAAUCAGCACGAGACUAAAAGAGAGACAGUUUGGAAAGAGAAACCAGCUGAAAGGUACAAUCUACAUGUAGAUGAAAAUGGCGUACUGAAACCCACCGGGUUGUCCUUUCAAUAUUUACUAAUAAAAAAGAAGAAGUAAGCUUGGUGCUGGGGUACCUCCUGCUGCACAGGGGCGGGGUCUGGGUUCAAGCCCCGGGCUCCCCUUUACUGUAUCUGGCAAAGCCCCAUCUGGUGAAAGACCGUGUCUCUUCCUCAGACUCCACUUGCACCUCAGCAGCAGGCUGUUGUCAAAAUAACACCGGAGACUAUACUGAUGGGCUUCCUUCAAAUACGCGAUCGGAUCAGAAACUCCUGUGGGCUCACCAGAUGUCAGGAGCGAUGGGACACCAGAGGCGGAAGAACCUAUGUCCCCAGGCUACAGCAAAGCUCCCAGCCCUAUGAAAAUCAUCUAGCCUGCUCUGAGCCACAUGCCUAGAGGUCACAGAGGCAUGCGGGAAAGUGAGAGGAAGUGGAAACGUGCUACAAAAAGGGCUCAAAGCAAUGUGCUCACCACCGGAAAAAAAAAUAAAAAUAAACACCCUCAGAAAUAGUGUAACUGAUAUGCAAAGAAGAUCAAAACAA
rnacentral:lncRNA from 1 species